UUUUUUUUUUUUUUUUUUUUUUUGUUGUUGUUGUUGUAUGUAUCAUCAUGGAACUAGGCUCAAUCCAUACUGACUAGGCUCUUAAUGCCGUGUUACUUGGGGGAGAAGGUGGCUGAAGGUGCGAGAGCGAGGGGAGCCUCUAAAAUCAUUGGGAUCGACGUCAACCCUGAAAAAUUCCAACUAGGUAUUAAAAUAAUAGCAUAUGAGCAUGCAUGUCAAUCUAAAGGUUAAAAGAGAAUUGUUCCUAAACGAAGUGUGCUAGCUCUGGAUAAACAACAGGCAGAGAAGCAGGGAUCCGUGACUUCAUAAAUCCAAAGGAGAGUGAUCAGAAGGCAGUUCAUGAGAGAGUAAGGGAGAUAACAGAGGGAGGAGUGGAGUACAGCUUCGAGUGUGCGGGAAGCAUAGAAGCACUUCGAGAGGCCUUUCUGUCUACACACUCAGGACUGGGAGUGACAGUGUUGCUGGGCGUUCACUCAAGC
rnacentral:lncRNA from 1 species